rnacentral:lncRNA from 1 species
CGGAGAUAGCUGGAAGGAUCACUCGUUCCAGAGCUAGGGAGAUGGCUAAGGAAGCUCACGCCCUCAUUGCCGCAGAGGACAGCGAUCAACUGGAGGCUGAAGCUCACAUCUUCAACAUCUCUAUCUUGAAGAACGAAGAACCCGGUAACAAUGACUAGGUAACUUAGGUGAUGAUUCUGUACUCUUUUCCUUGGUGAGGAUUUUGG